CGAUCGACUGCCUCCCGGAAGUGAUUGCGCCUAGGUCACGGCGCAAGCGCAAACCACACGUGUUGCCGCAAGGGGCUGAAGCGCGCGUUUCUCUGCUCUGCGACCCGGACCGGCCAGUAAGGAGAAGGUAUCAUGUCAGACAACGAAGACAAUUUCGAUGGCGAUGACUUUGAUGACGUGGAGGAGGACGAAGGGCUUGACGACUUGGAAAAUGCUGAGGAGGAGGGUCAGGAAAAUGUUGAGAUUCUCCCAUCUGGUGAACGACCGCAGGCCAACCAGAAGCGUAUCACCACUCCAUACAUGACCAAGUACGAGCGAGCCCGAGUGCUGGGCACCCGGGCUCUCCAGAUUGCGAUGUGUGCCCCAGUAAUGGUGGAGCUGGAGGGGGAGACAGACCCUUUGCUCAUCGCCAUGAAGGAACUCAAGGCCCGGAAGAUCCCCAUCAUCAUUCGCCGUUACCUGCCAGAUGGAAGCUAUGAGGAUUGGGGCGUGGAUGAGCUCAUCAUCAGCGACUGAGCAGAGCUGUCAGGCUGUGCCAGGCACCAUCUCUAUGCCCAUUUUAUACAUAAAAGAAGGUAACCCUGGACACCCACAUAGUUGGAAGGAAGAAUGGCUUUUGAGUGGCUCAGCCUGACCUCUGGCCCACUGCAACUCUCAGGAGACAUGGUGUGCCACAUGGGAUUGGGCACCCUGGUCAGGGUGGAAGGAGGAGUGGCCACAGUAAUAGGAGGGGUGCUUGCUGCUCUGGAUAAGGGUUAAUUCUGGGAGUCAUAGACUUCGCACCCCUACCACCCUCCUCCAAGCCUUUGGAAUCCUUUAAUCAAGUUGGGUGCUGAAAUUUCAGCUCUGAAAUGCCGCCUUUGUGCUGGCAUCCAGGCAGCCGCCCCAGAGUGCGGGGGUCACUUUCUCGGCCCCAUUUCUCUAAAUGGUGUCUUUGUUCCCUGCUGGGCUGCUCAGUAUCAGAUGUGAUUAAGGGAGAUGAAGCUUGGAUGGGGGGGGAGUUAACCCUUAGGGGAUAGGGUGCAGGGAGAUGGGAGAAGUGGGUGCUUUUCCUCUGACCUUCCUCUGAAUUCUGCUCUUCUUGGGCAGCCCCUUGUUGACCUGGCAGGCCUGGGGUUGUCUCCUGUGGGAUAUGUUGUCACCUGCCAACAUUGUAAAGUCUCCCAUCUCCUUAGGUUUAUGGUCAUCUUGUCAGUCAUUUAAAAACACCUGAUACCAGAGCUGCUGCUAUGCCAGAGCACAUCCCAGCCUGUGUUGAAGGGAUGAACAACCUAACUGGCUUCCAUUUCGUCUUCCCCCCAUGGCCAUUUUCCUGCAGCCUACACCAGUGGUGAUGACCUGGGCGAUCUCAUGAGGUAGUGGGUCCCUCUAUUUUUGGGGCCCCUCCAUCUUGUCAGCUCUGUUUAAAGUUCCCCCUUGGAGCAGGAGUCCCAUAGACUGGAAAUGGAAACAUGUCCUGCUUUUCAGUAGAGGGACAAGUAAGGGUCCCCAUGAAAGGCUGGUAUGAGGUCACUUCGUAUCUUACAGUGUUGGUGUCAUAGAUGGAAACCUGCAGCCAGGAGUGGGUCUUAGGAGUCGGUAUUGUCAAAUCAAAUGAAAAAAUAUAGACUUUUAUGGUAUCUGGUCUGGUAGGUCAAGAGACUGCCUCAGCCCUGGUUUUACCCAGGGAGUUGGCAAUCUCCUGACACCUGUGAUGGGUGAAGGACACAUUCCACGUGUGAGGAAGAGAGCUGAUGUGGAGGGGCACUCAGGGUAGUGGCUCCCCUUUCACUUAUGAGUGACUUCAGUGAAGAUACUCAGAUGUGUAGGUGUAUUUACUUGGACCCCAGCUCACGGAAGGCCAGACACCAAGAUUUAGCAGAGGUGGAGGAGUGGGUCAGAUUCAACAGAUAAUCUAUUAAAGAUCAAUAAAACACAAAAA